rnacentral:ncRNA from 4 species
UACGUAUGUCCCGAGCGUUAUCCGGAUUUAUUGGGCGUAAAGCGAGCGCAGACGGUUUAUUAAGUCUGAUGUGAAAGCCCGGAGCUCAACUCCGGAAUGGCAUUGGAAACUGGUUAACUUGAGUGCAGUAGAGGUAAGUGGAACUCCAUGUGUAGCGGUGGAAUGCGUAGAUAUAUGGAAGAACACCAGUGGCGAAGGCGGCUUACUGGACUGCAACUGACGUUGAGGCUCGAAAGUGUGGGUAGCAAACAGG